AUGCUUCACUUUUGUGGUGUACUUAAUAUGUGCUGCUUGAUUUGUUCGGAUUCUAGUGGCAUUGUCAGUGAAGCCAGAUAAAUGUUCCUCUCGCUAUCCAGUGUAAUGACAAUGUUGCAUUUGGACGUUGGGGAACUACACAU